GAUGAACGCUAGCGGCAGGCUUAAUACAUGCAAGUCGAGGGGCAGCAGGGGUAGCAAUACUCGCUGGCGACCGGCAAACGGGUGCGGAACACGUACGCAACCUUCCCAAAACUGGUGAAUAGCCCUCCGAAAGGAGGAUUAAUACACCGUAACAUAAUGAAGUGGCAUCACUUUAUUAUUAUAGCUCCGGCGGUUUUGGAUGGGCGUGCGCCUGAUUAGGUAGUUGGCGGGGUAACGGCCCACCAAGCCUGCGAUCAGUAACUGGUGUGAGAGCACGACCAGUCACACGGGCGACUGAGACACGGGCCCGGACUCCUACGGGAGGCAGCAGUAAGGAAUAUUGGUCAAUGGACGCAAGUCUGAACCAGCCAUGCCGCGUGAAGGAUGAAGGUCCUC
rnacentral:rRNA from 1 species